UGCAGUGGACUUGGACUGUGCCGUAGUUGGCUCGUCUUGAAAUUCAUUAGCUGUGCUGUGCGAUUUCGGCCGCCUGGUGUGAUAACUAUCUACGCCAACUGUGUCGUCAUUGGUCGGUGUGGCUCAUAAUCGUCGGCUUUGUUCGACAAUACACAUAACGCUCUGGCCUCAAAUCAGGUAGGACUACCCGCUGAACUUAA
rnacentral:misc_RNA from 1 species